GCUAGCGGCAGGCCUAACACAUGCAAGUCGAGGGAGAGGUUAYCUUCGGGUAACCAAAACCGGCGCACGGGUGCGUAACGCGUAUACAAUCUGCCUUUCACAUAGGGAUAGCCCGAAGAAAUUUGGAUUAAUACCUAAUGGUAUAUAGGAGCGGCAUCGUUUUUAUAUUAAAGCUACGGUGGUGAAAGAUGAGUAUGCGUUCUAUUAGCUAGUUGGAGAGGUAACGGCUCCCCAAGGCGACGAUAGAUAGGGGUUCUGAGAGGGAUGUCCCCCACACUGGUACUGAGAUACGGACCAGACUCCUACGGGAGGCAGCAGUGAGGAAUAUUGGACAAUGGUCGGAAGACUGAUCCAGCCAUGCCGCGUGCAGGAUGAAGGUCCUAUGGAUUGUAAACUGCUUUUGUARGGGAAGAAUAAGGAGUACGUGUACUUUGAUGACGG
rnacentral:rRNA from 1 species